rnacentral:rRNA from 1 species
AUGGUGAUGAAGGCGAGGUUCUUGGCGGCGUCGCUCGCGGUGGCGGCGACGUGCGUAUGUCUGGCGGCGGCGGCGGCCUCCGCCUUCGACGUGCCGACCAUGGCCUUCGAGGAAGGGUUCUCGCCGCUGUUCGGGGACGGCAACCUCGUCCGCGCGCGGGAUGACAGGGCCGCCCGCCUCCUGCUCGAUCGCCGCUCCGGUUCGGGAUUCAUCUCCUCGGAUUACUACCUGCACGGCUUCUUCGGCGCGUCCAUCAAGCUGCCCAGAGACUACACGGCCGGCGUCGUCGUCGCCUUCUACCUGUCGAACGGGGACGUGUACGAGAAGACGCACGACGAGCUGGACUUCGAGUUCCUGGGCAGCCGGUGGGGCGGGCAGUGGCGGGUGCAGACCAACGUCUACGGCAACGGCAGCACCAGCCGCGGCCGGGAGGAGCGCUACCUCCUCCCCUUCGACCCCACCCUCGAGGCCCACCGCUACUCCAUCCUCUGGGCCCCCACCCACAUCAUAUUCUACGUGGACGACACGCCGAUCCGCGAGGUGGUCCGGCACCCCGGCAUGGGCGGGGACUUCCCGGCCAAGCCCAUGGCGGUGUACGCCACCAUCUGGGACGGCUCAGCCUGGGCCACGGAGGGCGGCAAGUACAAGGUGAACUACAAGUACGCGCCCUUCGCCUCCGAUUUCUCCGACCUGUCCCUCCGAGGAUGCCGCGUCGCCGACCCGGCGGCGCUGCGCCUCAGGAGCGACGCCGCCGGCGGGUACGACCUCCUGGGCCUCAUGACGGCCGACUACGCGGUCAUGACCCCGCAGAAGCGCGCCGCCAUGCGCGCGUUCCGGGCGCGCCAGAUGACCUACACCGUGUGCUACGACGCGGCGCGGUACGCGGCCGGCCCGUUCCCGGAGUGCGACAACUCGGACGAGGAGAGGGGCACGUUCUGGGCGUGGGGCGAGUCCAAGACCGUGGUCAUGAAGACGCGCGGCCGCGGGCGCCGCGGCCGGGGGAGCAGGGCCGGCGCCGGAGCAAGGGGACGCGCCGGCGCGGCAAGCUGCUGA